rnacentral:rRNA from 1 species
GAAAUGCGAUAAGUAAUGUGAAUUGCAGAAUUCAGUGAAUCAUCGAAUCUUUGAACGCAUCUUGCGCUCCUUGGUAUUCCUUGGAGCAUGCCUGUUUGAGUAUCAUGAGCAAAUCUCAAAGUCAAUUCCUUAAUUGGUUUUGCUUUGGACUUGGAGGUCUUGCAGAUUUCACAGUCUGCUCCUCUUAAAUGCAUUAGCUGGAUCUCAGUAAUUAUGCUUGGUUCCACUCGGCGUGAUAAGUAUCACUCGCUGAGGACACUGUUAAAAAGGUGGCCAGGAAAUUACUGAUUGAACCGCUUCUAACGGUCUAUUAAGUUAGACAAUUGACCCCUUAAGUUUGAUCUCAAAUCAGGUAGGACUACCCGCUGAACUUAAGCAUAUCAAUAAGCGGAGGAAAAGAAACU